CCUACGGGAGGCAGCAGUGAGGAAUAUUGGUCAAUGGACGCAAGUCUGAACCAGCCAUGCCGCGUGCAGGAAGACGGUCCUAUGGAUUGUAAACUGCUUUUGUACGGGAAGAAACACUCCUACGUGUAGGAGCCUGACGGUACCGUAAGAAUAAGGAUCGGCUAACUCCGUGCCAGCAGCCGCGGUAAU
rnacentral:rRNA from 1 species